UGGGGAUCCCACCUCUCCUCGCUCGCCCCUCUCACCACGUCGCCCAGGCAAUCCUCGCUCCCCCUGUGGUCCUGGAUUACCCUGGCGAACAUACUUGUAAUUACAUAAGAUUACAUAAGAGGAACGGACACUAGGAGGUAAAGUGGUAGUGUGGUUACCCGCUUGUGCAUGCCCAUGGGUCCCCGGGCCUCCUCGCUGGUCACCUCCACUCCCUCUUCCUUGAACAGCUCCAUGAAGGCGCCGGCAGGGGAGAACACCCCGCAAUCGAUCACCGUACCUAUAAACCAAGAUGUGGCAGCAACUUGGCAAUGAAGUAAGGUGUGUGAAGGUGGGACAGAAGACUUCUUCCCUGAAGCAAUGCGUGACAAUGUGGGAGAGCCAUCAUGAACAGCAGCAGUGCAUCUGGGCUAGACAAGACAAACCUGCAAAGAGCAAAACAUCUUGAAAUACUUGUGUGGUGGCAAGCUGCUGGGAUGAAGUAUUAACAGCAGUGCAGUGCAGUAUUGCACUAUUCAAGGAAACUGUUCAUCUGGUGCUUAAGUGUUUGGUACAGCUGUCCCUUAUUGGCUGCACCCUUCCUCUUUCCUAGUUUUCUGUCACUCAUGCUUGCCUCGGGAUUUUAUGUUUGUAUAUUCACUGCAGUUCACUUCUGGUGCAAGAUAGACCAUUUAACUUGAUGCUACUGGACUGUGCAGCUCAAUGUAUAUUCACUGCAGUUCACUUCUGGUGCAAGAUAGACCAUUUAACUUGAUGCUACUGGACUGUGCAGCUCAAUGUGACAAGUUGAAUUUAUACAAGAUAGUUCCAAAAUAUUUAAAACCAGGAUCAUUUUUAUUUUUUAUUUUUUUUUAGCAGCCUCUGAGCUGAUACAGAAAAAAAUCACAUUACAUGUGGCAAGUCCUCUGAAUGCUACAUCAUAAUCAGAUAAUUAAUACGACAAUCUCUAGAAGUUGUAUACACUCAUCUGCCAGACUGGUGUGUCUUGAGUGGGUUUUCCUGCCUCUGUAUGGCCAGGAAGAACAUGAGUGAUACAUUGAUGCUUGCAGUAGACCAGCUCCUGUUUAAAGGCUUCUCCACUUCAAUUCACUCCACUUCAAUUCUUCUUCACUUCAAUUGUAAAUUACUUAUUUCCUUAUGUGAUGCAAUGAUUUUUUCAAUGCCAGAUCAAAGAGGAAAGCUGAAAAGAUGAUAAAUUAAUCUUGCUAUGAACACUUCAGAGUGAUCUUGGAAAUUCAACUUGUCACAUUUCCUUUCUUUAUUUUAUUAAGAUAACCAUAAGUACUGUAGUACAAUUGUUGCACAACCUAACAGUACCAAGCAAAGUAAUCGAUUGAAUAUCCAAACAUGUAUCACUCAGGCAAAUUUGACUGAACAGUGGGUGAAGAUGCAGCCAAACAAGAGGGCCACACCUAGAAUAACUUCCAAGAAUAUGUAAGGUACACCCUCUUUCUAGACAUACUAUAGUCCUUUCGGAGAAAGAAAAGGAGUGAGGCCUCUGUGUUUGGUUGGCAGCCCUGGGCCAGUAUGCAGAAAACUUCAUAAAAGCUCCUCUUAAAGCCACUCAUAAAUUAAAAAUCUUUGUCAUAACUAGGAGCUCGACUUGUGAGUCAUGCAAAGAAACACAAGGCGACUCCUAACUGUGGGCUGAGUGAUUUAUGAGCUUCAACAGUUACACAAGUUAUGCAAAUUUUGUUUGCAUUCAAGGAUGAAGCAGUGUUUGUUCUACUAUCAAUGUUUUCAACCUUAAUACGAAAAAGUAAUUAUGGCAAGUAUAAGUUAAGGAAUCAAAUUUUGUAGUUUAUACAGUCACUUUACCUAUUAUUGUGUACAACCAUUGUGAAGUUAUGCUUAAAAUAAAACAUGUCUUCUCAAACACAAAAUACUGUUGAAUAUGAUGGUGCUUCAGAAAAAAAAAUUCCCUCAAUUACAUACCACUUCAUAUGUACAGUAUCAUGGUAAUUCCCAGAAUAAAACCAGCACAGAACAUAUAAUUAUAUACACAUUUUUAACUACUACUAAGUUGGAAUGAAGAAAAUAAAUUACAUAUGUUGAAA